CGUCGUAUGAUGCGAUGGGGGGACGGAUCGCGGAAGGUUGUCCAACUGUUGGAAUAGUUGGUUGCUGGUUCAUAGAAGGCGCUUAGGCAAAUCCGGGCGCGGAAUUCAAGGGAUUGGGACGAGUGAACUUGUUCACGAAGCAAUCGGAAGUGGUUCCAAGAAAAGCCUCUAAGCUUCAGUCAUACGAGACCGUACCGCAAACCGACACAGGUGGGCGAGAUGAGUAUUCUAAGGCGCUUGAGAGAACUCGGGAGAAGGAACUCGGCAAAUUGGUACCGUAACUUCGGGAAAAGGUACGCCUCGGUAGUUUAACCACUUUACUGUGGAAGGACGAAAAGGUUGCAAUAAACUGGUGGCUGCGACUGUUUAAUAAAAACACAGCACUCUGCAAACACGAAAGUGGACGUAUAGGGUGUGACGCCUGCCCGGUGCUGGAAGAUUAAAUGAUGGGGUGCAAGCUCUUGAUUGAAGUCCCAGUAAACGGCGGCCGUAACGAUAACGGUCCUAAGGUAGCGAAAUUCCUUGUCGGGUAAGUUCCGACCUGCACGAAUGGCGUAACGAUGGCCACACUGUCUCCUCCCGAGACUCAGCGAAGUUGAAAUGUUUGUGAUGAUGCAAUCUACCCGCGGCUAGACGGAAAGACCCCAUGAACCUUUACUGUAGCUUUGCAUUGGACUUUGAACCAAUCUGUGUAGGAUAGGUGGGAGGCUUUGAAGCGGUGACGCCAGUCAUCGUGGAGCCAUCCUUGAAAUACCACCCUGGUUUGUUUGAGGUUCUAACCUUGGUCCGUUAUCCGGAUCGGGGACAGUGCAUGGUAGGCAGUUUGACUGGGGCGGUCUCCUCCUAAAGUGUAACGGAGGAGUUCGAAGGUACGCUAGGUACGGUCGGACAUCGUGCUAAUAGUGCAAUGGCAUAAGCGUGCUUAACUGCGAGACUGACAAGUCGAGCAGGUACGAAAGUAGGACAUAGUGAUCCGGUGGUUCUGUAUGGAAGGGCCAUCGCUCAACGGAUAAAAGGUACUCUGGGGAUAACAGGCUGAUUCCUCCCAAGAGUUCAUAUCGACGGGGGAGUUUGGCACCUCGAUGUCGGCUCAUCACAUCCUGGGGCUGUAGCCGGUCCCAAGGGUAUGGCUGUUCGCCAUUUAAAGUGGUACGUGAGCUGGGUUUAAAACGUCGUGAGACAGUUUGGUCCCUAUCUGCCGUGGGCGUUGGAAAUUUGAAGGGGGCUGCUCCUAGUACGAGAGGACCGGAGUGGACGAACCUCUGGUGUACCGGUUGUCACGCCAGUGGCAUUGCCGGGUAGCUAAGUUCGGAAGAGAUAACCGCUGAAAGCAUCUAAGCGGGAAACUUGCCUUAAGAUGAGAUUUCCCGGAGCCUUGGGCUCCUUGAAGGGUCGUUCGAGACCAGGACGUUGAUAGGUCAGGUGU
rnacentral:rRNA from 1 species